UACAGAGGCCCCGAGCGUUACUGAGAAUCACUGGGUUUAAAGGGUGCGUAGGUGGCGCGUUAAGUCCGUUGUGAAAUCCCUGGGCUCAACCCAGGAAUUGCUUCGGAUACUGGCGUGCUUGAGGCCGGUAGGGGUCACUGGAACUGACGGUGGAGCGGUGAAAUGCGUAGAUAUCGUCAGGAACGCCGAUGGUGAAGACAGGUGACUGGGCCGGAACUGACACUGAGGCACGAAAGCGUGGGGAGCGAACGGG
rnacentral:rRNA from 1 species